AACUUUUUGGUAACAAUUUAGACAUUUUAAGUACAAAUAAUAUACUUUUUUUUUUCUUUUUUUUCCCCAGAUGUGGUUGCAUCAAACAGAUCUAUUUCUGCAGCCAGUCCUAGGAUCUUACAAAGGUCAUGUUUCUUCUCUUAUUUUGAAGAAUCCUGACAUAGUUGAGAUUAGAAGAGCUUUAACAGAGGAGGCUGGAAGAGGCUUGGCCUGAGUGACUACUGAAAGGAUACCUGAAAGUUUCCAGUGUAAUGUUUGCUUGCUCAUAGGCAGAAGUACAUCAGGGCCACAUGCAUAUUAAAUGAAGGGCCACCCAAGUCAUAGGAUAAUGCAUUGAUA
rnacentral:lncRNA from 1 species